AACAAAAAAAAUAUAUCCAAAAAUUUUUUCUGGGAGUACUGGAACAAGGUGAACGCUUAGACUGCUUCCGACGGUCACCGGGUCACCGAGUGAUAGCGCACGACGUCACACUCCCGGAUACUGUGCCGAAUGCGAACGCUUAAUUCGUGCGCCGCCCUGGCCCUCGAAGCAGUUUGUUCAAAUGAAGUUGUUGAAUUCUUUUGUCAUUAGUUAAUUUAAUUUAAACCUUACACAUCUAGAUAACAAAGUUCCGUAGCCACGCGGCUGAGUUUGGCGUCAUUCGUU